rnacentral:rRNA from 1 species
GACAGAGGGGGCAAGCGUUGCUCGGGAUCACUGGGCGUAAAGGGCGCGUAGGCGGGAUGGCAAGUCGGUCGUGAAAUCCCUCGGCUCAACCGAGGAGCGUCGGCCGAUACUGCCGUUCUUGAGGGAUGCAGAGGAGACUGGAAUUCCCGGUGUAGCGGUGAAAUGUGUAGAGAUCGGGAGGAACACCUGAGGCGAAGGCGGGCUACUGGGCCGAUACUGACGCUGAUGCGCGAAAGCCAGGGGAGCGAACGGG